rnacentral:sRNA from 1 species
CCUGACUCCCGCUCCCCCUCCUCCCCCAGCCUACUUCUCCCUGCAGGUGAUCUCGGCGCGCAGGGCCUUCCGCGUGUCGCCGCCGCUCACCACCGGCCCACCCGAGUUCGAGCGCGUCUACCGAGCCCAGUGAGGCGCGGCGGGAGGGCGCGGGGCGGGGAGCGAGCCCCAGGCGGGUCCGGGUCGCAGGACCAUCCCGGCCGGCGCGCUCAUCCCACCCGCCCACCGCAGGGUGAACUGCAGCGAGUACUUCCCGCUGUUCCUCGCCACGCUCUGGGUCGCCGGCAUCUUCUUUCAUGAAGGGGCGGCGGCCCUGUGCGGCCUGGUCUACCUGUUCGCGCGCCUCCGCUACUUCCAGGGCUACGCGCGCUCCGCGCAGCUCAGGCUGGCACCCCUGUACGCGAGCGCGCGCGCCCUCUGGCUGCUGGUGGCGCUGGCUGCGCUCGGCCUGCUCGCCCACUUCCUCCCGGCCGCGCCGCGCGCCGCGCUCCUCGGACGGCUCCGGAC